GAUGAACGCUAGCGGGAGGCCUAACACAUGCAAGCCGAGCGGUAGAGAUCUUUCGGGAUCUUGAGAGCGGCGUACGGGUGCGGAACACGUGUGCAACCUGCCUUUAUCAGGGGGAUAGCCUUUCGAAAGGAAGAUUAAUACCCCAUAAUAUAUUGAAUGGCAUCAUUUGAUAUUGAAAACUCCGGUGGAUAGAGAUGGGCACGCGCAAGAUUAGAUAGUUGGUAGGGUAACGGCCUACCAAGUCAGUGAUCUUUAGGGGGCCUGAGAGGGUGAUCCCCCACACUGGUACUGAGACACGGACCAGACUCCUACGGGAGGCAGCAGUGAGGAAUAUUGGACAAUGGGUGAGAGCCUGAUCCAGCCAUCCCGCGUGAAGGACGACGGCCCUAUGGGUUGUAAACUUCUUUUGUAUAGGGAUAAACCUUUCCACGUGUGGAAAGCUGAAGGUACUAUACGAAUAAGCACCGGCUAACUCCGUGCCAGCAGCCGCGGUAAUACGGAGGGUGCAAGCGUUAUCCGGAUUUAUUGGGUUUAAAGGGUCCGUAGGCGGAUCUGUAAGUCAGUGGUGAAAUCUCAUAGCUUAACUAUGAAACUGCCAUUGAUACUGCAGGUCUUGAGUAAAGUAGAAGUGGCUGGAAUAAGUAGUGUAGCGGUGAAAUGCAUAGAUAUUACUUAGAACACCAAUUGCGAAGGCAGGUCACUAUGUUUUAACUGACGCUGAUGGACGAAAGCGUGGGGAGCGAACAGGAUUAGAUACCCUGGUAGUCCACGCCGUAAACGAUGCUAACUCGUUUUUGGGUUUUCGGAUUCAGAGACUAAGCGAAAGUGAUAAGUUAGCCACCUGGGGAGUACGUUCGCAAGAAUGAAACUCAAAGGAGUUGACGGGGGCCCGCACAAGCGGUGGAUUAUGUGGUUUAAUUCGAUGAUACGCGAGGAACCUUACCAAGGCUUAAAUGGGAAUUGACAGGUUUAGAAAUAGACUUUUCUUCGGACAAUUUUCAAGGUGCUGCAUGGUUGUCGUCAGCUCGUGCCGUGAGGUGUUAGGUUAAGUCCUGCAACGAGCGCAACCCCUGUCACUAGUUGCCAUCAUUCAGUUGGGGACUCUAGUGAGACUGCCUACGCAAGUAGAGAGGAAGGUGGGGAUGACGUCAAAUCAUCACGGCCCUUACGCCUUGGGCCACACACGUAAUACAAUGGCCGGUACAGAGGGCAGCUACCUAGCGAUAGGAUGCGAAUCUCGAAAGCCGGUCUCAGUUCGGAUUGGAGUCUGCAACUCGACUCUAUGAAGCUGGAAUCGCUAGUAAUCGCAUAUCAGCCAUGAUGCGGUGAAUACGUUCCCGGGCCU
rnacentral:rRNA from 1 species